rnacentral:siRNA from 1 species
UAUGUAAACAUAUUGUCUCAUUA